rnacentral:rRNA from 1 species
CGCCUCUUGAAUAAAUAUAAGAGGUCCAGCCUGCCCAGUGACCAUGUUCAACGGCCGCGGUAUCCUAACCGUGCGAAGGUAGCGUAAUCACUUGUUCUUUAAAUAAGGACUAGUAUGAACGGCACCACGAAGGUUAUACUGUCUCCUCUUUCUAAUCAGUGAAACUAAUCUCCCCGUGAAGAAGCGGGAAUAAGAAUAUAAGACGAGAAGACCCUAUGGAGCUUUAAACUAUAAAGCAAUUGCCCCAAUAUAAUUAAAUUUCAGAAAACCACUACUACCAAGGCAAUAUGACUCUUAGUUUUAGGUUGGGGUGACCGCGGAGCAAAAAAUAACCUCCACAUUGAAAGGAGUUCAACUCCUUAGCCAAGAGCUACACCUCUACGCACCAACAAAAAGACAUUAAUUGACCCAAUAUUUUGAUCAACGAACCAAGUUACCCUAGGGAUAACAGCGCAAUCCACUUCAAGAGCUCCUAUCGACAAGUGGGUUUACGACCUCGAUGUUGGAUCAGGGUAUCCCGGUGGUGCAGCCGCUACCAAAGGUUCGUUUGUUCAACGAUUAAAACCCU